rnacentral:rRNA from 1 species
UAGGGAAUCUUCGGCAAUGGACGGAANNNUGGACCGAGCAACGCCGACGUGAGUGAAGAAGGUUUUCGGAUCGUAAAGCUCUGUUGUAAGAGAAGAACGAGUGUGAGAGUGGAAAGUUCACACUGUGACGGUAUCUUACCAGAAAGGGACGGCUAACUACGUGCCAGCAGCCGCGGUAAUACGUAGGUCCCGAGCGUUGUCCGGAUUUAUUGGGCGUAAAGCGAGCGCAGGCGGUUAGAUAAGUCUGAAGUUAAAGGCUGUGGCUUAACCAUAGUAGGCUUUGGAAACUGUUUAACUUGAGUGCAAGAGGGGAGAGUGGAAUUCCAUGUGUAGCGGUGAAAUGCGUAGAUAUAUGGAGGAACACCGGUGGCGAAAGCGGCUCUCUGGCUUGUAACUGACGCUGAGGCUCGAAAGCGUGGGGAGCAAACAGGAUUAGAUACCCUGGUAGUCCACGCUGUAAACGAUGAGUGCUAGGUGUUAGACCCUUUCCGGGGUUUAGUGCCGUAGCUAACGCAUUAAGCACUCCGCCUGGGGAGUACGACCGCAAGUUG